rnacentral:rRNA from 1 species
CCUACGGGUGGCAGCAGUCGAGAAUCAUUCACAAUGGGGGAAACCCUGAUGGUGCGACGCCGCGUGAAGGAAGAAGGCCUUCGGGUCGUAAACUUCUGUCCUUGGGGAAGAAGAACUGACGGUACCCAAGGAGGAAGCUCCGGCUAACUACGUGCCAGCAGCCGCGGUAAUACGUAGGGGGCAAGCGUUAUCCGGAAUUAUUGGGGGUAAAGAGUACGGAGGUGGCAACCUAGGCGCAGGGUAUAAGGCAAUGGCUCAACCAUUGUUCGCCCUGCGAACUGGGAUGCUUGAGGGCAGGAGAGGAAAGCGGAAUUCCUAGUGUAGCGGUGAAAUGCGUAGAUAUUAGGAGGAACACCAGUGGCGAAGGCGGCUUUCUGGACUGUAACUGACACUGAGGUACGAAAGCGUGGGGAGCAAACAGGAUUAGAUACCCUGGUAGUC